CUGGCUCAGAUUGAACGCUGGCGGCAUGCCUUACACAUGCAAGUCGAACGGCAGCACGGGAGCAAUCCUGGUGGCGAGUGGCGAACGGGUGAGUAAUAUAUCGGAACGUGCCCAGUCGUGGGGGAUAACGCAGCGAAAGCUGUGCUAAUACCGCAUACGAUCUCUGGAUGAAAGCGGGGGACUCGUAAGAGCCUCGCGCGAUUGGAGCGGCCGAUAUCAGAUUAGCUAGUUGGUGGGGUAAAGGCCCACCAAGGCGACGAUCUGUAGCUGGUCUGAGAGGACGACCAGCCACACUGGAACUGAGACACGGUCCAGACUCCUACGGGAGGCAGCAGUGGGGAAUUUUGGACAAUGGGCGCAAGCCUGAUCCAGCAAUGCCGCGUGCAGGAUGAAGGCCUUCGGGUUGUAAACUGCUUUUGUACGGAACGAAAAGGUCUGCCUUAAUACGGUGGGCCCAUGACGGUACCGUAAGAAUAAGCACCGGCUAACUACGUGCCAGCAGCCGCGGUAAUACGUAGGGUGCGAGCGUUAAUCGGAAUUACUGGGCGUAAAGCGUGCGCAGGCGGUUAUAUAAGACAGAUGUGAAAUCCCCGGGCUCAACCUGGGACCUGCAUUUGUGACUGUAUAGCUAGAGUACGGUAGAGGGGGAUGGAAUUCCGCGUGUAG
rnacentral:rRNA from 1 species